ACUAUUCAAAUAGAUCGCACACACAAGUCUUGGAAGAAUGCAUGCCCAGAAAAGAUUUGAGAGGUUUCCAGAAUCUCUAGCGAGGCUAUGUGGAAAAAGUCUUGGAAAGGAAACUACAGAGUCUGAGACAGUUGACUGAUUCUUCAGAUGCUGAAUCCCCUCAACAAAACCAAAACAUACAAGAAGCAGGCAACCAUGACACAUUUAAAGGAACCAAUUAAAUCUUUAAAAAGUCGAACCUAAAUAAGCUAAGAUAUGAAUUGCCAAAGAAUUCAAAAUUACCAUCAUAAGGAUGCUCAAUGAAUUAAAAGAACUCGUGUCCACUAAUAGAUGAAUGGAUAUCUACAUACAGUGGAAUAUUAUGCAGCCCCAAGAAGGAAGGAAAUCCUGUCACAUGCUACAACAUGGAUGAAAAUGAAAGACAUUCUAAGUGAAAUAUACCAGUUACAAAAGAAUAAAUACUAUAUUCCAUUCAUAUGAACUGUUCAAACUAUUCAAAAUCACAGAAACAAAAUUUGGACAUUGCCUUAGGAGAGGUGGUACAUAUUUGUCACUGGAGUGAAGAUUUUGGUGUCCUGGGCAAAGCUGAAGGAGCAAAAUCAUCUUGGUCUUAGGCUGGAGUGAUGUCACCUUCAGCAGAAAACUCCUGAACCAAAGUGAUGUCAUCUGGGAUGUAGGACUGAGGGAAUACUUUUUAAGCAAUGGACCAGUCGUCUGUAAUGAAUGUGAAGAUGGAGCCAUUUGUUGACCAGGAUGUCCAAUGCUAAGGUGACUGCUGGAAGUUUUCUCAAGUGUAUUGUCACUUGGGUCCUAUCAUUUAUGAAGGAAAUCCUGGCUAAGGGAUGUGAAUUCCAUCAUAUAAGAUGGUUAGCAGUGUUAUUUGUAUAGUCUACAAACUCUUGAUCCCAAGGGGUUCAGGGGGAAGGGAGACCUCCUCCAGCAGCAUGGCAUCUGGCAUGGGAUUGAGGACAGGGGAGUCCAGCUCUCCUGCAAGUGGCAUAUGUUGGCCCAGAUUUGGCUUCAUCCUGUCUUAAGGAGGUCUCAGUAGCUGUGUCAAGCUUGUGAGGCACUGUUUCCAUAACCCAGAGCAUGAGAAGCUGGGUGUUGAGGGUCACAACCUCACUGUCUGUGAGAGCCUUUUUUUCUAGGAGCGCCCAAUAUGUAGCCAACCAUUGGUUGUCUUAAUGAUGUAUAUAGCAUGAGGCCAAAGAUGAGCAGUUUCUUGCAUCAGAAGUCUUUGGAUAACUUAUGGCCUUUAUAAGUGGUCCAAAGACUCCAGGAAGCAUGAGAAGAGGUUACCAAAGCCUCUAGGGUGAAGGAAUCUCUGAGGAUACUAACAAGAGUGUUGAUUUUAACAUGGAGAUUUUAAGCCUUUGUUGAAGACAGCCCCAUUUAAGGAGGGCUGAUUUAUCCAUGGUAACAUCAAUUAGAUAAAAACAAAAUUUAUUAACGAAGACUAUGCUGCCACCAGUACCCAAAAAGGACUUAAACAUCUUGGACUUGUAUGUCUACAAUGAUUGUGUCAAAUGAAUCUCCUUGCAGGAGUACACCAAUAAUAGUGCCAUACUCAUGUUCCUAGAGAAAGGUAGAUACAGUUAAGAUCUUGUCUGCAAAGUUUGUGAUGACAAAGCCAUUGAGGUACCUCAUGGGUAGCCUGGAGAAGACUUAAAAUGUCCCUCCCUUUGGAGGCAAAGAUAAAACUGCAGGUGAGAGGCUGUUGAAAUAGGCAUUAAACAGAAUAUGUUAGCCAAAUCUGUAAGAUCAAAAUACUUACCAGUUGUUGAUUGAAUAGAAUAGUAAUUUUAAUAAUACCAGAUAUUGGGUAUGGGGCUUCUAAUGGAUGGGACCACAGCAUUAAGGCUGUAGUAAUUCACCAUGAAGCAUCAUUCACUUACGUACUUAAGUUUUAUAUAUAUAUAUAUAAAGUUACAUACUUUAUAUAUGUUUAUAUAUAUAAAGUUACAUACUUAAGUUUUAUAUAUCUGAUAUAUAUGUUACAAUAUAUAUGUUAUAAUAUAUUCCUUCCUGGUUUAAGGUAGGCAAAUUAGGCCAUCAAAUGGAGAAGUAGAAGGGAAAAUCACCCCUCUAUAAAUUAGAGUUUAUAUAAUAAAUUUUGAUCCUUGAAGCUCCCGUUUUAAUUUAUAUUGGGCCAUAUUACUAUUUUAACUGAGAGUCUGUGGCAUCCCAUAUUAUCAGGCUAUCCUUACUCCCUACCCCCCAAUCCACUGGCUUGUUUCUAACUUAAUUAGCUUCAAACUAAAUUUUUAAAGUGGAAUCAACCAGAAGGUAAGAGUGUAAGGGAAAUGAUUUUCCAACACUUCUCAUGUACACUAAAACUGUAGGUUCCUUUUUGGGAAUACAGCAGGCUCUUUGCUGUUUACAAGGUGUGUAGGAAAAAUGUCACUUCUCAUAUUUCUCCUUUCGUCUCACGCUACUAUCACACUGAUAACACUUCUGACACCCAAAGUAUGGGUGUUAUCCCUACUCCAAGAAAUUCUGUGAUACCAGCUGCGGGCCUACACUUUAACUCAAUCCUGACACUCUCUACCUGGAGAUAGCACCAGAUCUCAUAAGUUAAGGGCUCAAUCCCACACGACUAUCCCCUCACCAUCACCACCUGCCCAGAUUCUUCAGAUAGCAAUCACAAGUCUAGGUUGUUACUUGUCUUCUGAUCCAUCAGCUUUAAUGCGGAGAUUCCCAAGACACCCUCCUAAGAUUUGAUUAAUUUGCUAGAGCAGCUUACAGAACUCAGGAAAAGUUAUACUUGCUGUUUACCAGUUUAUCAUAGAAAGAUAUGCUAAAAGAUAUAGAUGAACAUCCGGAUGGAAAGAUACAUAAGGCUAAGUCUAGGAGGAUCCCAAGUGCAGGAGCUUCUCUAUCCUGUGGAGUUGAGGUGUGUCACCCUCCUGUUAUGUGUUACCCUCUUGGUACGUCAUCAGUCUGGAAACUCUCCAAACCCCAUCCUAUUGUGGUUUUUAUAGAGGCUUCCUCACAUAGCCAGAAUCAAUUAAUAACUCCAUAUCCAGCCUCUCUAUCCUCUCUAGAGGGCUGGACUUCAGAAAGGCCCAUGUGGUAAGGAAUUUGGGGUAGCCUCUGGUUCACAGCCAGCAAGUGACUGAGACCCUUAGUAACUAACCAUGUGAUCUUGCAAGCAGAUCCUUCCCUAGUUGAGGAUCAGAUGAGACCACCACUGUUCUGGCCAAUAUCUGACUACAGCCUUGUAAGACCCUGAAUCAGAGGACCUAGCUAAGCUGUAUCUGGACUCCUGACUCAGAGAAACUGCAAGGUAAUAAAUGUGUGUGGCUUUAAGAUAAGUCUCUGAUAAUUUGUUAGGUAGCACUAGAAAACUAACACAUCUAGGUUUUUUUUUUUUCACACCUAGGUUACUAAAGAUUAUUCAUAAAUGUCAUAGUUCAGUGUUUCUCAUUAUUAUCUGUUCUGUGAGGAUGGUAUUUUGUUUCAGGGCUAAGGAUUAGGUGUGCAAUCCACAUCCAAAGUUUACUCUUGUCUGCCCAUUAGAAUUAUUAGGGAUUUCACUUGAACCCUUAGCCAGAGCUAAUCAAACAGAAUCUCUGGAGCCAGAAUCUGUUGGAAUGUGUUUAAAAAAAAAAAAAACUCUUAACCAUGUGAUCAUCACAUUGGUGACAUCACCAACAAGACAUAUCAACA